UGUGACAGCAGAGAGACACAUGGCCGGGCAACGCCCCCUCAACGCUCACCGGUCACAUCCCGGGAGAUAUGAGCGGACAACUGACAAAACCUUCCCCGAACCACGGACACCAACAUGUGGGGCAGGUUGGGCCCAUUGAUUCAUGCUGAUGCUAAAUUCCGACCCGACCAUCUGCAGCCUCAGCAGAAAUCCAGAGCAGGCGACCGCUUUUCCAGUUUGCAGCUUUGGCCUGUUCUGGUGAAGCCGUUCUCAACGUCACCACCAGGGAGCAGCAGAAGACCAAUUUGAUGCACACUGUGGGAUCUGCAGGUAUCCGCAGGGGGCUGGAGGCAAUUCCAGCUGACAUUGGGCGAGAGGCGGGAUACAACCCCGGGGCAGGUCGACAGUCUUUCACAGGGGCUGACAAAGAAACACCAAUGCUGCACAUUCACACCUCCACCAACACAUUAACAGUGUACAGAUGUGACAAAUUUAUGUGAUGUAGAAAUUCAGAAAGGCUUACAAGAAAAAGAAUACAAUCCUCAACACCAAAGAUGGAUGGAACUCGCUUGCACUGAUUUUGAGAAUUCAGCGAAUUCUGAAAAUAUUGUCCAUAAGCAAGACGUUUACUUUUGAAUUCAAGUCUCUGCUUCACAUGAUGGAAGAUUUCACACAUGAUUGUGUUUUUUUUUUAUCUCUCUUUGGAACCAGAGCAAAAAGGUCGAGGCUGUUCUUUUGUUUUGUUUACCUCCACCAGAUGGUGGCGCUGUAAAGCUACGUCGACCCUGUCGACCAUGUGCUCCUCCCCAAGUCUCUCUGGCCCCUCGCUCCGCCCUCCCCGGCGA